CUUUAGGUUAAUCGAGUGGUCCUAUGACUUUGGGGAUGACCACCCUUAGGUUUUUCGAUGUGUAGAAUCCAUUUUUGGGGUUAGAUCUUGCAAAUUCUGAGUCUAAGAUGAUGAUCAACAACUAAAAGUUCUAAGAGAAUCCAAUGGCAGAUCAACGGUGAGAUCGCGUCCCAUUGAUAUGAAAUUUCAGCAAGACGAUCAUCGAGCCAGGACGAUCAUAUCUUACGAUUAGAAUCAUAAAUCAAAUUCGGACGAUAAAUCGUUAGCAACCUAACAUAGUAAGAAAACUCUCAUAACCGUCUCAUUCUUUUUAAUUGUUAAAUUUUUAGAUUUGUGUUCAUAUGUUAACAUAGCUAAAACUUUAGAUAAAAUUUUGUUUAUAGUUGUAUGUAAAUUUGUGAUUGGUAUGUUAAAUAUUUGAAGGUCAUUUCUUUA